AGGAGAUUAAAAGCGUCAAGAUUUCAUUUAAAACGGCCGGGGAGCACUAAGCGAAGGCGUUUAUUUCCAAACAGUAAGCGGAAGCGUCGGGUUCUCGGCGCUUGUCACGUCCGUGCCCUGGCUCCUCGACCUGUUGGCUGUGAGAGAAGUCCCCGUCGCCGCUGGAAUUGCCCUGUUUACUGGCCUUCAAGACGUAAACGGCCAAACCUGCGAGUGUUCAGAUUUUUUGGAACACAAGUUAUUUUCUCUUAAGAGGAGGCUGGGGAUGUGUUCCAAUCCUGUACAGCAGAGACCAGAGCUAAUAUUUUGGAUGGAAAGUCCUGGCACGGUGGAGACAAGUGGCAAAACUUCGCUUAACACCACUAGAGGUUGAAAUGAACAGAUAAAAGCAAGAUGAUGAGAGCAAAAGCAAGUAAUUUUUCCUUUAAACUCC